AUGUACUAUGCAUUCACAAACCAUGUCGUACUAUAUAAAAAUAUACAUUGACGACACAAAUCAAAUAAGUAUAUAGAUUUUAGUAUGUAUUUAUCUUGAAAUAUAUGGAAAACAACCAUGUCGUACUGCACAAAAUAAUUUGAUGGAAACAAAUUAUCAUACAUACAAAGCAAUGGCCAGAAUAUCCCAAACAUUAGCUCACCGUCAAUUUAAACACAAUUAUCCUGGAGAUAAUCAUAAUUCUAAUCCCUAUUGUGGUGUUUUAAAAUUCUCAUGUUGAUUUUGUCUAAAAGCAGCACUUUUGCUAUCAUAUAAACAUAUUUAAG